CCUACGGGUGGCAGCAGUAGGGAAUAUUGCACAAUGGGGGAAACCCUGAAGCAGCAACGCCGCGUGAGGGAUGAAGGUUUUCGGAUUGUAAAGCUCUAUUGUUAGAGAAGAAAAUGACGGUACCUGACUAAUAAGCACCGGCUAACUACGUGCCAGCAGCCGCGGUAAUACGUAGGGUGCAAGCGUUACUCGGAAUCACUGGGCGUAAAGGGCGCGUAGGCGGGUUAGCAAGUCAGAUGUGAAAUCCUAUGGCUUAACCAUGGAACUGCAUUUGAAACUGUUAAUCUAGAGUGUAGGAGAGGUAGGUGGAAUUCUUGGUGUAGGGGUGAAAUGCGUAGAGAUCAGGAGGAAUACUGAUUGCGAAGGCGGCUUGCUAGAACAUAACUGACGUUGAGGCGCGAAAGCGUGGGGAGCAAACAGGAUUAGAUACCCGGGUAGUC
rnacentral:rRNA from 1 species